CCAUUGUCCAAUAUUCCCCACUGCUGCCUCCCGUAGGAGUCUGGACCGUGUCUCAGUUCCAGUGUGACUGAUCAUCCUCUCAGACCAGUUACGGAUCGUCGCCUUGGUGAGCCAUUACCCCACCAACUAGCUAAUCCGACCUAGGCUCAUCUGAUAGCGCAAGGCCCGAAGGUCCCCUGCUUUCUCCCGUAGGACGUAUGCGGUAUUAGCGUUCCUUUCGAAACGUUGUCCCCCACUACCAGGCAGAUUCCUAGGCAUUACUCACCCGUCCGCCGCUGAAUCAAGGAGCAAGCUCCCGUCAUCCGCUCGACUUGCAUGUGUUAGGCCUGCCGCCAGCGUUCAAUCUGAGCCAGGAUCAAACCCUU
rnacentral:rRNA from 1 species